CGCUACGGACUUAAAAUCCGUCGACUUUAGAAAUCGUGAGGGUU
rnacentral:tRNA from 1 species